GCAACUUAACUAAUGUACACAUAAAAGAGUAAUGGUAGAGUAGAAACAAGAUGAAUCCAGUAAAAAAAAAUGGAGAGAGCGUAGUAGCUUAGCUAUAUACACAUUUACAGAUUAAAAUCAGCAAAAAAAAUAUGGAUGGCUGUAGCCUGUAGAUAGAGGUAUGAUCUCAAGCAGAAAAUUAGAAAGGUCAACUGCAUAAACCAGAUCUAUAUUCCUGACUGAGAGUGAGAGAUCAAGGCAUACAAUUGUUUUGCAGUUAAGCUUGCUUCUGAAAGGUUUCUGAGAGGAGCUGCAAUCUCAUCACCAAUUGCCAUCAAUAGUUCCAUGCAAUCUGCAACUCAUUUAUCAGUCCUGGUCAGUCUUUCUAUUCAUUACAAAUUGGAAAAAAAAAAAAAAAAAAAACAGUUCCUUCAUAUCAUUUCCAAUGGUAUCACAUUUUCUUCUUGUUAGCUAGGCCUAGCCGCUAGUGUACAUAAUAUUGUGUAUUUGCAUUAUAUUUACUGUCCGGCCCUAUGUAUCUCAGCCUAGUCUUUGAUUUUUUAUUAACCUAGGCUAAAAUUUAAGAUCUUGGGGAUUACUCUCUUUGGGAAGAAAAUACUAACCUGGGAUUUUGCUAAAAUUUAGCAGAGACGCUGCAGCAAGAACCUUGUGCUCUACCCAUUCACUAUUUUCAAGGGUUUCUUUCAGUUUUGAGAUAAGAACCGAAAAGGCAGACAAUUUAGCUUCAGAAUCAAGUGAACAACUUAACCACACCACCGUUGUCAACCCCACCUUCAU
rnacentral:lncRNA from 1 species